rnacentral:rRNA from 1 species
CACGUAGGGGGCAAGCGUUGUCCGGAUUUAUUGGGCGUAAAGGGCUCGUAGGCGGCCAACUAAGUCGGAUGUGAAAUCCCCAGGCUCAACCUGGGAACUGCAUCCGAUACUGGAUGGCUUGAAUUCGGGAGAGGGAUGCAGAAUUCCAGGUGUAGCGGUGAAAUGCGUAGAUAUCUGGAGGAACACCGGUGGCGAAGGCGGCAUCCUGGACCAACACUGACGCUGAGGAGCGAAAGCCAGGGGAGCAAAGCGGG